rnacentral:rRNA from 1 species
UACGAGGGGGGCUAGCGUUGCUCGGAAUGACUGGGCGUAAAGGGCGCGUAGGCGGUUUGUACAGUCAGAUGUGAAAUUCCUGGGCUUAACCUGGGGGCUGCAUUUGAUACGUGCAGACUUGAGUGAGGAAGAGGGUUGUGGAAUUCCCAGUGUAGAGGUGAAAUUCGUAGAUAUUGGGAAGAACACCGGUGGCGAAGGCGGCAACCUGGUCCUUGACUGACGCUGAGGCGCGAAAGCGUGGGGAGCAAACAGG